rnacentral:rRNA from 1 species
GACGAACGCUGGCGGCGUGCUUAACACAUGCAAGUCGAACGGAAAGGCCCUGCUUUUGUGGGGUGCUCGAGUGGCGAACGGGUGAGUAACACGUGAGUAACCUGCCCUUGACUUUGGGAUAACUUCAGGAAACUGGGGCUAAUACCGGAUAGGAGCUCCUGCUGCAUGGUGGGGGUUGGAAAGUUUCGGCGGUUGGGGAUGGACUCGCGGCUUAUCAGCUUGUUGGUGGGGUAGUGGCUUACCAAGGCUUUGACGGGUAGCCGGCCUGAGAGGGUGACCGGCCACAUUGGGACUGAGAGACGGCCCAGACUCCUACGGGAGGCAGAAGUGGGGAAUAUUGCACAAUGGGCGGAAGCCUGAUGCAGCAACGCCGCGUGCGGGAUGAAGGCCUUCGGGUUGUAAACCGCUUUCGCCUGUGACGAAGCGUGAGUGACGGUAAUGGGUAAAGAAGCACCGGCUAACUACGUG